CAAAGGCAAACCUAUCUAAAGGUAGGGACGCAAAGCUAUAGGAUCUAAAUCAUUGUUGAGAACAUGAUAUGAUAGCCAGCUAC
rnacentral:ncRNA from 1 species